CAGAAAAAACGAGAAACGUCUUCAUGACAUAAAAAAGGAAUUCAACACAAACAUCAACAUGAAUGACCACAGCCCGGUUGUGUUAGAAAAUCCAUCCUCCACAGAGAAAUGCAUGGACAUGUCACUUGGACCACUGACAGCACUGACAGAAAAUAUUGUGACUUUACAAACGACCGCUGCAUCACCAGGCAUAACAUCAGUCACAUCUCCUCUGUCAUCAGUACCAAUUAAAGAAAAAACAGCUUGUGAACCUACCACUCUUCUGAAUUUUUUGGAACCUACUAAGCCUUGGGAGAGGGACUGGCAUCCAUUACAAGAGAAACUGCUUGAUUAUGUGCUGGACCGAAAUCGCCCUGGCAGUGAAAUAAUUGUGAAGGAGGGGCAAGUGUGCCUUAUUCGAGAAGAAUUUUGGAGCCUUGGAUUGUUGAGGGACAUGGACUCCCAUAUUGGAAACACCUGCAUGAAGCUUAUUUGUGAAAUGGCUCGACAAAUUGGCAAGGACAUAUACAUUGAGGACUUUUAUGUUGUCCCUGUGUGGAAAGAAACUCCUAACAACAUUGUUACUGGACUACCGGAAGAUGCAGACUUGAAAGACCUGUUAGCCUUUCCAGCAUGGACAAAUGCCAAUGGACCAGACCACUUUGUUGUCUGUGAAAAUUGCUUACCGAGUGGAUCAUGGGACAUGGUCUGAAAAGACUGGAUAUGAUUUUCCAGCUUUGCCACGUCAGACAAGAGGGAAUGAUUGUGGUGUUUUUGUACUCAUGUACACCCUCUCAAUGGUGUGUGGCAUUGGGUUUCAACUCCAGGAGAUGGAUAUACCUAUCAUCCGUCAGUGGUGGUGCCUUCUACUCAUGGAACAAUUUCAAAUUGAUGGGUAUGUCAGUAUUUAUUUAUUUUUCUUGUAAAUCUGUAAAAUUAAAAAUUUAUAUUGUGUCAAUACAACAACUUGUAACAUGAAUAACAAAACAUACUUAAAAUCUCUUUUACCGGUGACCAGUAUGUCACCGACUCGGUCCCAGUAACUCCCCUCGCUGGCCAGCAGAGGCCACCAUCUCCGGACUUUUAGCAUUACGUAAUCCAUCUACACUGAUUGCGCAUACACCUGAUUGGAAUCUGGCUAAUGACCCACGUACCUCUUAUAAGCCGCACUCAAACACUCGUUCAAGGCGAAGUCUUGUUUAGCCCCGGCCAGCAUUUCUGAGCAUUAUCUCCAGCCUGAUCUCCUGUGCACGACUCCAGCCUGUCUCUUACUUUGCUUCGCCUUCUGCCUGCCCACGACCCACGCUUGUUAUACGGACUCUGACUCUCUCUCUGCCUGCCCACGAACCACGCCUGUUACACGGACUCUGAUCCUUGCUGCCUGCCCUUGACCCAAGCCUGCAUAACGGAUCCUGGUUCUCGCUCACUCCCUUCCACUCAUGCCUGGUAACUCACUCUUUGUCUGUUCAUCAUCAGUCUUGAUACCCAUACUACUACUGUGGAUGUGUGUGUGCACUCCGGUGCAUAUUGUGUGUUUGAGUGAAGUUGUGAUUAAUAAAUACUGCAUAAUGGAUCCCUCCGUGUCAGUCUCCUCGUUACACAGUAAUUAUGGAUUUUGUCUUGUCUUGUUAUUAAAAGCUAUGGGCACAGAUUUGCUUUCUGGACUGAGGAGGCAAGAAGUGUCUUGGAUGGAAAGAUUCUGCCCCUUUUUAGGGUGAAAAGAAAAACCACAUCCAAUCUUCCGGCACAUGUCCAAGCAGUUCAAGAUCGGGAAAGGAAUGACAAAAGAUUAGUGGACUUGAUUAUCACAUCAAAAUCACCAGAGCAGCAUUUGGUGGUAUAGAUGGUUCCACUUUAAAUUACUCCUCUAGACUCUGAGUAUGGUUGACUUAAAUAUAGUCAAGUGACAAUUUAACUAUUAUUUGCCAAAUAUAAUUAAUUUCUUGUGCAUUUACAUAUGAAAUAUAAUUUCCUUCUAUGGCCCAAAGGAUAUACUCGGUGGGAAAAGGUCAAAUUGGUUUCCACUAAAACCCCGUUCUCAAGUGCCUGUCUACAUUGAGAAUGAGCAGUCCCGGUCAAUCAUUUGUGACUACAUCAGAGGAAUUCUUAAUAAAACCAAAACACAGCUGACCUUCAAUGAUGAGGUGGAGUUCAUUUGUGGAUGUCUCCUCCCAGAGGCCAUAACUUAUGGCAUUUCCGAGUUACAAGGCUUGUCUUGGCAGGAGGCUGAAGAUGUCUUCCUCCAGGGCCCCAUUUAUCACGCAAGUUAAGUUGAGGAAUUUAACAGAAGAAUUGCUCGAGAAAUGAAAAAUCUCCCCAACAGGAAUCUCGAUGACUUGUAGGACCUCAUGAAAAUUUAUAAAAAAAAUAAAGUUUGGUGUUAGAAAAUUA
ensembl:lincRNA